rnacentral:rRNA from 1 species
UACGGGGGGGGCGAGCGUUGUUCGGAAUUACUGGGCGUAAAGGGCUCGUAGGCGGCCAACUAAGUCAGACGUGAAAUCCCUCGGCUUAACCGGGGAACUGCGUCUGAUACUGGAUGGCUUGAGUUUGGGAGAGGGAUGCGGAAUUCCAGGUGUAGCGGUGAAAUGCGUAGAUAUCUGGAGGAACACCGGUGGCGAAGGCGGCAUCCUGGACCAACACUGACGCUGAGUGAGCGAAAGCGUGGGGAGCAAACAGG